AUUGAACGCUAGCGGCAUGCCUUACACAUGCAAGUCGAACGGAAUGGCAAACGGAUGAGUAAUGUAUGGGAACGUGCCCAUUAGAGGGGGAUGAAUAAACGAAGGCGUAGCUAAUACCGAAUACUAUUUGAACGGACGAUAGCGACUUAGCUAGUUGGGGGGGUAACUGACAACCAAGGCGACGAGCAGUCCCUGGUUUGAGAGGACGACCAGCCACACUGUGACUGUGACACGGUCCAGACGCCUACGGGAGGCAGCAGUGGGGAAUUUUGCACAAUGGGGGAAACCCUGAUCCAGCCAGCCCGCGUGUGCGAUGAAGGCCUGCGGGUUGUAAAGUACUUUUGGCGGGAAAGCGGUACCUGCAGAAUAAGCACCGGCUAACUCCGUGCCAGCAGCCGCGGUAAUAC
rnacentral:rRNA from 1 species